UACAGAGGGGGCAAGCGUUAUUCGGAAUUAUUGGGCGUAAAGCGUGCGUAGGCGGAUCGUUAAGUGCCUUGUGAAAUCCCACGGCUCAACCGUGGAACUGCUUGGCAUACUGGCGGUCUUGAGCAACCUAGGGGCGAGCGGAACAAAUGGUGGAGCGGUGAAAUGCGUAGAUAUCAUUUGGAACGCCAAUGGUGAAAACAGCUCGCUGGGGGUUUGCUGACGCUGAGACACGAAAGCCAGGGGAGCAAACGGG
rnacentral:rRNA from 1 species